AUGCUUCAUUUUGAGGAGCACGGUCUAGUUGGGUGUUUGUUAGGCGCUGGCCAGAGUGGCUGUGCCCACCUAAUACAAAUGUCUGUAGGCCUUUCAAAGCCUUUUGACAGAGCAUCUUUUGAGCAUGCCAGUUGCCAUGGUCACCAGUGUGCUGAUUUGCAAGGAAAAUUGGAAGCCAUGCUCAUUACGUCAAAAACGACAUUGGGGGAUAAAGGGAGCAUGUUUGCUUCAAGAGUUGGCAAUUGGGGUUUGUUAGCAUCCCCGCCCACACAUUUCCAUCAAACAAUGUCUCAUUCAACUGCAUAAGUCAAAGUUUACAACUCCCAUCUUUCCAGCUGGAACAGGCCUGGGAAGUGCGAACGGAAAAUUAUUGCUCACAGAAUCACAGCACAGGCUUGCAGGCUGAGCGGUAACGGGGACUUGCAAGGACAGCAGGAGGGAGAUGGAUGGGUGGCAGAGGGCGAGGCGAGGACAAGCUGUGUUCAGUGACCCGCUGGUACCAAGUAGAUGCUUACCUGGACUUGUGACACACUGAGGUUUUAUUCGAGAGAGCGCUUCCAUGGGGUGCUUCUCAGCCUCCAAAUUCUGUGAUUCUAAAACGCAGUCUCAAUACAUUCAUGUGGUAUGCCCAGGCACAUAAAUACAGCUAUAUUUAUUUUUUAAUGUUUGUUGGUUGAGAGCAUAAACGGAAUGCCUCCCAUCUCUAUAUGAGGUGUGUAGACAAAACCAACCUUCUCCCUUAAUGCAGUAGCCCAACCUGCCAACAGAUAGCAUAACUACAGUCGUUUGAGAAUUAACCGAAGAAAGCAUUAAUCAUUAUGAUUACUUUUCUUAGGAACAACGAUUAUCAUUCAGUCCGGAAUAAUCGAAAAGCCAUCUAUAAUGCAUUCUGCUUUUUAUUAUCAUUUUCUUUGGGCUACAUUACUUGAACACUUAUGUCUGGGGGCAGUUGUAAGGUUUAUAUUCCACAAGUAGAUGCUUACGUAUAUUAAACAUAAACACUUGAUGUAAAUAUUAUUAAAUAUUUAAUGUAAAUAUUUGUAUUUAUGUUGCUGAGUAUCCAUUGUGCUGAAUGCUUUCAUGUCGGAACAGGCUAGGUAANNNNNNNNNNNNNNNNNNNNNNNNNNNNNNNNNNNNNNNNNNNNNNNNNNNNNNNNNNNNNNNNNNNNNNNNNNNNNNNNNNNNNNNNNNNNNNNNNNNCUGAGUAUCCAUUGUGCUGAAUGCUUUCAUGUCGGAACAGGCUAGGUAACUCUCCUAAUGCCUUGCAGCUAAGUGGCAAAUCUAUAGAUCCUUUUGAAGUCAAAAUUCACUCUUUCCCUGUCUACUAGGUGGCCUUUUCUUUUUCCUGCCAAUCAUCACUGGAAGGUCCUUGAAAUCAGGGUGGAAGCAGACAGAUUUACUUGCAAAGGGAUAAAUUCAGUGGAAAAUUUGGUGGGCCUAAAUAGAAUUUUUCUAGAAAAAGUAAAAAUACACUGAUUAAAGGGGUAUGCGUAUCUAUGUGUGUGAUACUGAAAAGUGACUAAUACCUCGAGAGGGAAGGACAUGAGAAAAGGUUAAUAAUUUUUCUAUUUCAUUAACGAAGUUAAUUAUUUAAAUAAAACUACUGAACUUUCUAAAGCUUGCACAUUGUAUCAGGAAGCCAAAUUUAUCCACUGACAGCAUGAUGGAAGAAUAAAGCCACAUUAUAUUAAUAGCUGAUUUGCAGCCAAAAGAAGGUGUGGUGAGGUGACUAGAGUCUCACUGCUUGACCUGAGCUGUGUGACUAUUAUUUUAGCCUUUGGAGAGUUAAUUUUCUUUCAUUGUGGGAUUAUUUAAGCAUCAAAUGAGUUAAUGGAUAUGAAAUUGGAUUGUAAAAUGAAAUAAUCAGUGUUAAGUGCUAUUAAAUAGACAAAUACUUAUUUGUCUGUUUUAACAAACACUUAUAGAGCUGUGUGUGCCAGGCACUAGUCCAAGGGCCUGAAUCUCCUAUGACCUUCACAGGCAUCUACCGUUACAGUCUACGCUGUACGAACAAGGAAAAUGAAGCCUGCAGAUCACUUCUGACUUUAUGGAGCAUAGUUCUCCACGACUUUGGUAUAGAAGACUGUUACUAAGCAGUACAGUACUGGCAAAGGGGAGAAGUGGUUUCCAGAAUGUCACCUUUAGGGUCACUAAGUGGAGUAUAGAAGGAUGGGUUUACAGUUCAAAGACAAUAGCUUAACAAGUCAGCUAUUAGGCUAUGUGGCCUUUUCAAGCCACAAGGCUCUUUCAGCUUUCUAUUGUCAGAAGUGAAGAACCUUGCUCAUGUUUGUAAACCCAGAAACUACCACAGCACCAAGAAUAUAGUAAGUGAUGAGAAACAUCUGCUGUAAUGAAAAAUGAACCUAGAAAACAGAAUUCUAGAAGAGAAGAGCUAUGCUUGUGUUUUAAUGUAAAUAUUUGUAUUUAUAUUGCUGAGUAUCCAUUGUGCUGAAUGCUUUCAUGUCAGAACAGGCUAGGUAAUUUGUUUUUCACUCACCUAGAAUGCUAAUUCCAUUUUAAUUUUAGUUGCUCUCAAUAUGAAUUUUCUGCUCAAAACCUCAUUCAUUAGAGUUGUUUCCAUUUACUGGGCACUUAUGUUGUGUUAAGGGUUCAACAUACUUUUUAUUCUUUACAGACAUCCUGCAAGUUAAAGUAUCCUUAUUCCCAUGUUACAGAUGAGAAGACUGAGGCUUGGAGGUUAAGAAAUAAGCUCAAGGUCGGACAGCUAGUAAAUAGUAGAACCAGGAUUUAAAACUUAGAUCUGUUUCCAGAAGCCCCGCUCUCAACCACAGACCUCAAG
rnacentral:lncRNA from 1 species